CAGCCGCCACGGUAAAACGAAGGGGGCUAGCGUUGCUCGGAAUUACUGGGCGUAAAGGGAGCGUAGGCGGAUCGUUAAGUUGGGGGUGAAAGCCCGGGGCUCAACCUCGGAACUGCCUUCAAUACUGGCGAUCUUGAGUAUGAGAGAGGUGUGUGGAACUCCGAGUGUAGAGGUGAAAUUCGUAGAUAUUCGGAAGAACACCAGUGGCGAAGGCGACACGCUGGCUCAUUACUGACGCUGAGGCUCGAAAGCGUGGGGAGCAAACAGGAUUAGAUACCCCCGUAGUCCCUGUCUCUUAUAC
rnacentral:rRNA from 1 species